GAUGAAUUUUUAUUUCCAGUCAUCGAUCUGUCAUCUCAUUAGAUUUCAUUAACAAAGUAAGGUCAGGUCUGGUCAGUUCUUGAGUGGGAGACCUCCAGGGAAAACUGAAGGUGCUAUCC
rnacentral:rRNA from 1 species